rnacentral:rRNA from 1 species
CAUCUUCUAAANAAAGGUGGUGGCACAAAAUCGGAGGCCCCGACUGUNUACUAAAAACACAACACAGUGCAAUCAUAAAUGUGAUAGUAUACUGUGUGAAAUUUGCCCAAUGCCAUUNAUAUAAAUGCGGUCAUAUUACACUGUGACUAAUUGAAAAUCUGGUUAAUAGCGGUCUUAACCAUGAGGAUCCUAAGGUAGCAAAAUAGAUUGGCCAUUAAAUGUGGUCCGGUAUCAAUAAUGUAACGAUGGCCUCACUGUCUCUACAACUUGCUCAGUGAAAUUGAAUUACGCGUGCAGANGCGCGUGACCUCCAGUGGGACAGGA